GGCUCGGUGGCAGAGUGGUAAUGCAUCCGCUUACGAGAGACCUGUCACCUGAUUAUUCUCCAUUGCGGAAGUCGCCUGUUCGAACCAGGCCUGAGCCA